CCUACGCGUGGCAGCAGUGAGGAAUAUUGGUCAAUGGGCGCUAGCCUGAACCAGCCACGUCGCGUGAAGGAUGACUGCCCUAUGGGUUGUAAACUUCUUUUAUAUGGGCAUAACGUGCAGUAUGUAUACUGCUUUUCAUGUACCUUAUGAAUAAAGAUCGGCUAAACCCGUGCCAGCAGCCGCGGUAAUACGGAGGAUCCGAGCGUUAUCCGGAUUUAAUGGGUUUCAAGGGAGCUUAGGCUGGUUGUUAAGUCAGUUGUGAAAGUGUGCGGCUCAACCGUAAAAUUGCAGUUGAUACUGGCAUCUGUGAGUACAGUAGAGGUAGGCGGAAUGCGUGGUGUAGCGGUGAAAUGCUUAGAUAUCACGAAGAACUCCGAUUGCGAAGGCAGCCUGCUGGACUGUAACUGACGCUGAUGCUCGAAAGCGUGGGUAUCAAACAGGAUUAGAUACCCUUGUAGUC
rnacentral:rRNA from 1 species